CCUAGCUUUUAUAUUAGAGUUCUUCCAGGAAUUACUAAAACUAAAAUUACUAUCUUUGGGAAGCAUAAAACUAAAGUCUAAAUAAGAGAAAGGCAUAAUAUAAAGUUGAGCUACUGUUUAUCUUGUUACUACUACACUAAGUUCUGGAGAUUUAUUUUGAAAACUUACAAAUCACAUGAUGAGUUCCUAGCAUAACAAAUUACCUACCACAGCCAUACUUGCUAUAACAUCUUUUACUAUAUUUACAUUGAGUUUGAUCGAGCUGUGUAGACCCUUAGGAGCUUUUCAUGUGGUUAAAUUAAGAUAUUCACUUGCACACAUCUACUACACCAUCCAUCAUCAUUCAUUAAAAUUGCUAAAAAUAUUAUCACUCAGUGUCCCAAGUAUUGUUAUUCUCUCUCUGAAAAUAUUUAAUGCAGAAGAGGCAUGGGUUAUGCAAAAAUACGCGAGGAAAUAAAAAGGGGCAAGUGCCCGGAACCUCGAAAAAGAAAGAAAAAGAGUGAGACGAGAGGUAAAAAUGGAUAAGUGUCCGAAGUAGAAUUAGGGGUACAAAAAUGCCCACUUGAGCGGAAAAAAUGGACAAGUGUCCGACAGUAGAAUUAGAGGUAUCUACUACCCACCUGAAAAAAAAAGAGAAAAAGAGAUAGCCCAUGUUCUCCCAAAGCAAAGAUCAAAGAAGAGGACAGAUAGCAAUAUGAGGAGCAAUGAGAACUAAGUUUUAUUAUCACUUAUACAUUUUUAUUAUCACUAUCAUUUACUCCACCACACAUGCACAUCUUGAUUUAAUUAUAUGCUGAGUUUCUUUGGAUCCAUGGCUCGAUUAGACAACAUAUGUAUGAGCUGUUUUUCACUCCUAUGAGCUCCACUUAAAUAUUCCAUUAGCUAUAGGUAAGUGACAUUUUGGUAAGGAUCCACAAAUACCACAUAUAGAGAGACUUGAGAGAAUCAUUGCUGGGAACUCUGAGUUUUAUUUUGAAAACUUAUAAAAAACUCUGGAACAAAGGUGAAGUAUAGACAGGAGGAAUAGUGCUUGACUUAAUUAUUUUGACUUUCAAUCACUUAAGAUUUAAGUGCAGGUACUAAACUCCAUAACACUUCACUCUAAUCUGGAAGAAUUUUAUGUAAAAGCAUGUGUGCC
rnacentral:lncRNA from 1 species